ensembl:lncRNA
AGAAGACAGCGCGCUAGCGUAUCUAGUCUAUAUCUGUGGUCGGCACGUCUGGUAGCAUCUGUGGCUGCUGUUGAUCUUGUUUUUGGAGUAAAACACGGUGGAAGCUGAAUUAGUGAGGAUGACUCCUGCUCCUGUCAUCUCUAAGCUCCUCACACAUCUUUACCUGCACAUGAGGAAAAUCACUCCUGUAGAAUGCAGAUGUUCAGAGGGAGAUGAUGCCACAUCUGGUCCAGCCGAUGGAAGGUCUUGAAGAUCUCUGACUGGCCUCGACUGAAGAUGGUCUUCUCACUGGAUUUAAGAUGCACAAUGAGGGACGUCUGCAGAGACUGAGAAAGAGUCUCACCACAUCCUGACAUGAGGAAAAAGACUUUAUUGAAGACUACAAUGAGAAAAACUAUCAGACAGCAGACGGCUGCAUUCAAGGUGAGCUCUGAACAUUUGAUCUGGAACAGGAAUUCAAUAACGGCAGCAUGAGCUUCAUUUCAGUCUGUAGCUGCUGAAUUCAUGGAUGAAUCAUCUGGCACUAGAGAGA